rnacentral:misc_RNA from 1 species
GAUGAAGAACGCAGCGAAAUGCGAUACGUAAUGUGAAUUGCAGAAUUCAGUGAAUCAUCGAGUCUUUGAACGCACAUUGCGCCCUCUGGUAUUCCGGAGGGCAUGCCUGUCCGAGCGUCAUUGCUGCCCUCAAGCACGGCUUGUGUGUUGGGCCCCGCCCCCCGAUCCCGGGGGGCGGGCCCGAAAGGCAGCGGCGGCACCGCGUCCGGUCCUCGAGCGUAUGGGGCUUCGUCACCCGCUCUUGUAGGCCCGGCCGGCGCUUGCCGACACAUCAAUCUUUUUUCCAGGUUGACCUCGGAUCAGGUAGGGAUACCCGCUGAACUUAAGCAUAUCAAUAAGCGGAGGA